rnacentral:lncRNA from 1 species
UUUACGCUCUGCAAUUUAGUUUUCAGCUUUCUAGCUUUUAGCAUUUUUUUCUUUUUCAGCAACCUUGUUUCUGUUGCCAUUAUUUUUACAGCAUUAUAUUUUUUUUACAGCAUUCCAUAUUUUUCUUCAGCAAUUUAUUUCCUUUGUUAGUUUAAUUUUUUAGGCAUUCAAUUAAUUUUCUCACAAUAGUUUCUACACCGGAAACUAUUGUGUAACUUU